AACAGCGGUUUAGUGGAAUCAAGUGACCUACUGUGAUGACACCCAGAAAAGGUGGAGACUGGAGCCCAGGCACCUCGGGGACACAUUCUGCCCUCUCAGAAGACACAGAUGUGACCCUCAGCUGCCGGGAGAUCUGGCAUUUCCCCAGGGACUCUGACGCCCUGCGGCACAGGCCAGAGCCUGGCCUCCAGACCUGCCGCAUCAGACCAGGUCCCCACAGGGAGUGAGACCCGGUCCUGCCCUCGAGGACCCCCAGACCUGCUGGGGACAGAUGCACCAAGCAAGAAAUGACACAGUAACGUGGAAGCAGAGGGGCCGAGCUGGACGCAGGUGUUGCUGCCUACGGAGAAGGACCAGCCAGGUGACCAGUCCCGUGAGGACAUCUGGCCAGCCUGGGGUGGGUGACCCCAUAUACGAUGGUUAAUGUUUCUGUUUCUCUGAGUCGAUCCUUCUCCUUUCUGGGAAUUAUUAUUUUUAUUGAAGGACAUUUACAACCAGAACAGAUCGCUAAUCUUAAGGAUGCAGUUCAGCCUUGACAACUGUGCACACCCAUGUCACCCGCAUCAAUGUAUGGAUCAUCGCGGCCCCCCAGUAAUUCCCUCCAGGGAAGACCGCCAUGCUGACCUGCACCGCCACUGGCUGGUCCUGCGUGUUCUUGACCUUCACGUGAAUGGACUCACAGGGUGUGAACAUGCCGUGUCCCAACGCAAGGUGUGUGAUUUUUAUAUCCAUUGUCCUCGCUGUGUAGAAUGCCAGCAGGUGGAUAACAUAUGUACUUUAUUCUGAGACUGGAGAACAUUUGGGUCAUUUCUGGUUUGGGGCUCCUAUUAAUAAAGCUGAUAUGGGCAUGGGUUUUUUUCCUUAAAA